CCUACGGGAGGCAGCAGUGGGGAAUAUUGCACAAUGGGGGAAACCCUGAUGCAGCGACGCCGCGUGAGUGAAGAAGUAAUUCGUUAUGUAAAGCUCUAUCAGCAGGGAAGAAAAUGACGGUACCUGAGUAAGAAGCCCCGGCUAACUACGUGCCAGCAGCCGCGGUAAUACGUAGGGGGCAAGCGUUAUCCGGAUUUACUGGGUGUAAAGGGAGCGUAGACGGCAGUGCAAGUCUGGAGUGAAAGGCGGGGGCUCAACCCGCGGACUGCUCUGGAAACUGUACGGCUGGAGUGCAGGAGAGGUAAGUGGAAUUCCUAGUGUAGCGGUGAAAUGCGGAGAGAUUAGGAGGAACACCAGUGGCGAAGGCGGCUUACUGGACUGUAACUGACGUUGAGGCUCGAAAGCGUGGGGAGCAAACAGGAUUAGAUACCCGAGUAGUC
rnacentral:rRNA from 1 species